rnacentral:tRNA from 1 species
GCCAGUAUGGCAUAUUGGUUUGAGUGUUGGACUACAACUUUGGAGACCAGGGUUCGAUUCCCUGCUCAGCCA